CCUUCCCUUCCUGUGCAGGUGGUGGUGCCCUCUGCGCCUUCACUGGGGCCCAGCCAAGUAACUGAAUCCAGCCAGGAGCAAGGGCAGACGCUGGCACAGGUCCUGCCACUGUCCCCAACCUGGGUUUCAACACAGCUGAGGCCUGGCAUAGUCUUUCUGGGCGCCUCUGGCUGGCUCGGUCUGAAAGGCGCGGCCAGGUCACAGUCGGCACCAGAAGUUUGGCAGAUCUCAGUGAGGCGUUAGUUUGCAUUUCCUUGUGACGGGGACACUGCAGCGGUGUAUGCCCAGAUCAGCAUGAGCAUGCCCAGAUGCUCCAGGGUCCAGCACAAUGACCACACCCAGCCCCUCUGUUACCUGCAGUGAGCACUGGUGAAGGGGAAUGAGGAAGGCCCUGCUGCAGGGUGGGCAGCGUGGAGGGAGGGACUCGAAGGGACCGCGGGUCUGCUUUCUCGGGGAGGGACCAUGGGUGCAGGUGACAGGCACACCUGAGCUCCUGCGGAAUCAUCUUCCUGACUUCUCGGCUCCGGGCUCCAGGGUCCAGUCCAGCUCCCAUCCACACGGAAGGAAAAGGAUGAACAAACUGAAAAUCAACAACUCUUCUUCACCCGUCGGAGAACUGAGUCACCAGGCAAAGCACGGCCCCCAAAUCUGGAGACACAGACAGGUGGGUUCCGAGAACCUCAGCUGACAGGAGCAGAACCUCUGCGGGGCCAGUGCCAGGGACUUGAGCUGCCCCUCAUGAAUUUCUGGAGAUGCCACCUGGACAAGUGAGAGAAAAACUCCAGGGGAACCCAGUCAUGGGGGACCUGCGCUUGGUGAAUUUUACCUCCGAGAGCUCGACCAGGUUCCCACAUUAGAGAGGAAAAAUCGGCCAGGCGCGGUGGCUCACGCCUGGAAUCCCAGCACUUUGAGAGGCCGAGGCAGGCCAAUUGCCUGAGCUCAGGAGUUUGAGUCUACCCUGGGCAACAUGGUGAAACCUCAUCUCUACUAAAAUACAAAAAAUUAGCCGGGCGUGGUGGCGCGUGCCUAUAGUCCCAGCUACUCAGGAGGCUGAGGCAGGAGAAUCGCUUGAACCCAAAGGCAGAGGUUGCAGUGAGCCAAGAUCGCGCCACUGCACUCCAGCCUGGGUGACAGAGGGUGACCUUGUCUCAAAAAAAAAAAAAAGGGAGGGAGGAAAUAUCCCCUUUUACUUACAGCCAGGGGAAAAGGAUUAUUUUGAAAUACACCCUGUUCUCAUGAGGGCUGCUUUAGGGGGAAUUAUUUCACCAGAGUCUAACAGACCCAAGUUUUUCAUCAGUCUAACCUACUUGGGGAAAAGCAAACCCCAACUCCAGCCCCCUCUGGCCUUCCAGUCCCACCCAAGGGGGAAGGGGAGAUACAAACUCAGCAGCACUUUGUGAGGUCAUGGCACAGGGCACAGGCUCUGGAAACUCUGGUCCUAAAUCAUAGGGCCGUGCGCACACCUUCCAACCACCACAGUUCCCUGUCUACAGGCCCCUCUGCAAUAACGGGUGAUUCCCAAGAAGAAUGCUUGUUUCAGGCCUGACUCUAGGAGAACUGCCUUUCUGAUGUUAAGGUGUCAGAGGGCUGGCUUCUAAACCCUGGGUUAAAUCAUUUAGUGGCACAUUUAGCCAUCACCCUGUGAGAGUUCAGAAAGGACGCACGUUCACAUGCACAGAAACAGUAAACAGGCCGGCGCCGUGGCUCACGCCUGUAAUCCCAGCACUUUGGGAGGCCGGAGGCGGGCCGAUUGCUUGAGCCUAGGAGUUCGAGACCUGCCUGGGCAACGUGGCGAGAGCCCUCCCACACAAAAACUACAAAAAUUAGCUGGGCAUGAUGGUGCAUCCCUGCAGUCCCGACUACUUGGGAGGCUGAGGCAGAAGAAUCACUUGAGUCUGAGAGGUGAAGGCUGCAGUAAGCCGAGAUUGCCCCGAUCCACUCCAAUGUGGGCCGCGGGAGUAAAACCCUGUCUCAAAAAAAAAA